rnacentral:rRNA from 1 species
UGAAGCACCUUCGGGUGUGAAUUAGCGGCGAACGGGUGAGGAACACGUGAGAAAUCUGCCUUCAACACUGGGAUAACUCCGGAAACCGGGGCUAAUACCGGAUAUGAAAUCUGCGGGCAUCCGCGGAUUUGGAAAGUUUUUCGGUUGAAGAUGAUCUCGCGGCCUAUCAGCUUGUUGGUGUGGUAAAGGCUCACCAAGGCAUCGAUCAGUAGCUGGUCUGAGAGGAUGAUCAGCCACACUGGGACUGAGACACGGCCCAGACUCC